rnacentral:rRNA from 1 species
UACAGAGGGUGCGAGCGUUGUUCGGAAUUACUGGGCGUAAAGCGUGCGCAGGCGGUUCGUUAAGUCAGAUGUGAAAGCCCCGGGCUCAACCUGGGAACUGCAUUUGAAACUGGCGGGCUUGAGUAUGGCAGAGGGGGGUGGAAUUCCGCGUGUAGCAGUGAAAUGCGUAGAGAUGUGGAGGAACACCGAUGGCGAAGGCAGCCCCCUGGGCUGAGAUUGACGCUCAGGCACGAAAGCGUGGGGAGCAAACAGG